GACGAACGCUGGCGGCGUGCCUAAUACAUGCAAGUUGAGCGCUGAAGGUUGGUACUUGUACCAACUGGAUGAGCAGCGAACGGGUGAGUAACGCGUGGGGAAUCUGCCUUUGAGCGGGGUACAACAUUUGGAAACGAAUGCUAAUACCGCAUAAAAACUUUAAACACAAGUUUUAAGUUUGAAAGAUGCAAUUGCAUCACUCAAAGAUGAUCCCGCGUUGUAUUAGCUAGUUGGUGAGGUAAAGGCUAACCAAGGCGAUGAUACAUAGCCGACCUGAGAGGGUGAUCGGCCACAUUGGGAAUGAGACACGGCCCAAACUCCCACGGGAGGCAGCAGUAGGGAAGCUUCGGCAAUGGACGAAAGUCUGACCGAGCAACGCCGCGUGAGUGAAGAAGGUUUUCGGAUCGUAAAACUCUGUUGGUAGAGAAGAACGUUGGUGAGAGUGGAAAGCUCAUCAAGUGACGGUAACUACCCAGAAAGGGACGGCUAACUACGUGCCAGCCGCCGCCGUAA
rnacentral:rRNA from 1 species